GUUUAACGCACUCCUUACUCAAAUGACUGCCAGAACAAGCCAGCUCCAGGUAUGCCAGACAGCAACAUAUCAAAUAAAGCACUGCACCGCUUAACCGCUUUUCCAUCCGUGGACUCGCGUAUACACAAUUGGUAAUCCAAAGUAAAUCUACAAUAUCAGAACACCGUCAAUGAGUGACUUAACUUGUAAGGUAAACUGUAGAUGAUUAUCACGCUAGAUGGUCGGCAUCAGUUUGAGAAUUUUAGGACCGUUUGUGUUGUCUAUUUAGU